rnacentral:rRNA from 1 species
AUGGCCAGCGGCGGCUCGUCGGACGCGGAGGCGGAGCUGCGGCGGGGCUUCAAGGCCCUGGCCGUGACGCGGCCGGACCCGGCGGCCGCGGUCUACGAGGUGCGCCUCAGCCGCCCCGCGCAGCGCAACGCGCUCAGCCCGGACUCCUUCGCGGAGAUCCCGCGCGCCAUGGCGCUGCUCGACCGCGUCCCCGCCGCGCGCGCCGUCGUGCUCUCCGCCGCGGGGCCCCACUUCUGCGCGGGCAUCGAGCUCGGCGGGCCCGGGAACCCGCUCACCGCGCCCUUCGGCCGGGGCGCCGACCCCGCGGCCGCGGCCGAGGGGCUCCGCCGCGCCAUCCUCGGCAUGCAGGCCGCGCUCACCGCCGUCGAGCUGUGCCGGAAGCCCGUCAUCGCCGCCGUGCACGGCGCCUGCGUCGGCGGCGGCGUCGACCUCGUCGCCGCCUGCGACAUAAGAUACUGCUCCAAGGACGCCACGUUCGUGCUCAAGGAGGUGGACAUGGCCAUCGUCGCCGACCUCGGCGCGCUGCAGCGCCUGCCGCGGAUCGUCGGCUACGGGAACGCCGCAGACCUCGCGCUCACCGGCCGCAGGAUCACCGCCGCGGAGGCCAAGGAGAUGGGGCUCGUCAGCAGGGUGUUCGAUUCCAAGCAGGAGCUGGAUGCCGGUGUUGCGAAGAUCGCCAAAGAAAUAUCAGAGAAGUCGGCAAACGCAGUGAUGGGAACGAAGGCAGUUCUACUGAGAAGCAGAGAUAUCACAGUAGAGCAGGGCCUGGAGCAUGUAGCGACUUGGAACUCUGGAAUGCUGAGAUCUAAUGACCUGGUGGAGGCCAUCAAAGCUUUCAUGGAGAAGCGGAAGCCUGUUUUCUCUAAGCUCUGA